AUUGAACGCUGGCGGCAUGCUUUACACAUGCAAGUCGAACGGUAACAGGGUGCUUGCACCGCUGACGAGUGGCGAACGGGUGAGUAAUGCGUCGGAACGUGCCGAGUAGUGGGGGAUAACGCAUCGAAAGGUGUGCUAAUACCGCAUACGUACUGAGGUAGAAAGUGGGGGACCUUCGGGCCUCACGCUAUUCGAGCGGCCGACGUCUGAUUAGCUAGUUGGUGAGGUAAAGGCUCACCAAGGCGACGAUCAGUAGCGGGUAUGAGAGGAUGAUCCGCGACACGGGGACGGAGACACGGUCCAGACUACUACGGGAGGCAGCAGUGGGGAAUUUUCGACAAUGGGCGCAAGCCGGAUCCAGCCAUGCCGCGUGUCUGAAGAAGGCCUUCGGGUUGUAAAGGACUUUUGUCCGGGAGCAAAUACCCAGUGCUAAUAACGCUGGGGGCUGAGAGUACCGGAAGAAUAAGCACCGGCUAACUACGUGCCAGCCGCCGCCGUAACAC
rnacentral:rRNA from 1 species